GUCUGCCAUUAUUAUUUAUUUUUGUUCCAGGAACUCUAAUGUUACACAAAAUCUUACACGAAGUCUGCGUUUAAACAUAUCCAGUAUGCUGUUUUAUCCAGCAUAUAACCGCUACAUUGUUAAUGUGACGGCCGUGCGAGGAGGAGAGGAGUCAGAGCCGACACUAUCAGAUAUCUUCAGCUAUAAUAAAUAUGCUACCGCCAAAAUUAAGUGUCAUUUGGAUUUUCCUGAGGUUGAACUUUCUCCCAAAGACGGCAAACUUCACGUCCAGUUCAGCAACCCUCUUCAGCUGUACAGAAACUCACCGGCUCUGCGCGGCCUCAACGAUAAUCUGGAAUACUGUAUCGAAACAGAAGAAUUCAACCAAAA